rnacentral:rRNA from 1 species
CCUACGGGUGGCAGCAGUGAGGAAUAUUGGUCAAUGGGCGCGAGCCUGAACCAGCCAAGUCGCGUGAGGGAAGACGGUCCUAUGGAUUGUAAACUUCUUUUAUCUGGGAGCAAAAGACGCCACGUGUACCGUUCCGCGAGUACCAUAUGAAAAAGCAUCGGCUAACUCCGUGCCAGCAGCCGCGGUAAUACGGAGGAUGCGAGCGUUAUCCGGAUUUAUUGGGUUUAAAGGGUGCGCAGGCGGACGAUUAAGUCAGUGGUAAAAUUGAGGGGCUAAACCUCUUAGAGCAGUUGAAACUGGGUUUCUUGAGUGAGCGAGAAGUAUGCGGAAUGCGUGGUGUAGCGGUGAAAUGCAUAGAUAUCACGCAGAACUCCGAUUGCGAAGGCAGCAUACCGGCGCUCAACUGACGCUGAUGCACGAAAGUGUGGGUAUCGAACAGGAUUAGAUACCCGAGUAGUC